rfam:Klebsiella sp. RIT-PI-d NODE_19_length_704_cov_222.584_ID_37, whole genome shotgun sequence.
CUUUAAAAAUCUGGAUCAAGCUGAAAAUUGAAACGACACGCUGUGUCUGUUCUCCGUAAAUAAGAACAGAAGGCAGUGUGUUCGAGUCUCUCAAAUUUUUGCAAUCAGAAGACAUCUUCGG